rnacentral:lncRNA from 1 species
CUCACAUCUUGGAAAUUCUUCAGUUGUUUCCCUUCACAGUGAAUUUCAGCUGUAAUUAAUGUUAGUUAAGAGUGGGCGAUUGCGCGUGUGGUGCUGUGUGGGACAGGAGUGCUGCUCACCGAAUGGCCAAAGUCAGUCUUUGUUGUAACAUGAAGUAUUACACAUCUACUCCACACUGAGAGUGGGGUUGUCAUCCCCAGGCUCAUUCUUUGGAAACUGAAGAGCAAACCUGUCUCAGAUCCCACCAGCUAUCCAAACCUCACAAAGCUUCUUCCAGAGCACGUGGUCAUAUUGCCAGCUCUUUCCAGACAAGCAUGUUUCUGAGUGGACAGGGCUGUUGGUGUGCAAAGUGUGGCUUGCCGUUUUUAUAAUAAGUCCCUUCAAGGUGUCAAGUAUGUGACUCAAAGAAAUGUAAGCAAUCUAAAGGCACUGAAAUGAUUUCUUUAGUUUAUGUGCAUUUAUUUUGAGGGAAACUUACAAUCAUAUAAGUUUUAUUUUGUUGUUAAAGCCCUGAGAGCGGGGUGGACUAUUUUGAAAGCGAAGUACAAAGAAAUGGCCGUGUAAUUCAGAAGUUGACACUGAGUUCAAGGCAACCACUUUCCAAACUACCCUCCCUGGCUGCUUCUUGAAGUUGUGGGUCUGUUCUGGCCAGUGACUUUUGAUGAGAAAGUCUCUGAAUACGAUUUUCUCUCCUUAAGGUAUGUUUACAAAAGGGCAUCCACUGUUGUCUUCUAAUAUCGUUCAAGCAUAGUGAGAGGCUUCCCUGCCAGCCAUUGUGUGAUGGUGACAGUAAAAAACCAAGACCUCCAGGGGUGGGAGAGGAAAGCAGCUGGUUUUCUCAUAAUAUAUGUGCCCGGGUAACUCUGAGAGAUCAUACGUGCUAAACAUCUUCUCGUUUGUUUGUGUUUUUAAAAUAUGUACGAGGGAUUUGUCUACAAGUAUGUCUGUGUACCAUGUGCAUGCCUGGUGCCUUCAACAGCCAGAGAAGAGCUUAGAUCCCCUAGAACUGGAGUCACAGAUUGUUCGGAGCUGCGAUGUGGGUGGUGGGACUCGGCCCAGGUUCUCUGGAAGAGCAGCCAGUGCUCUCAGCCACGGAGGCAUCUACUCAUCGCCUGCAUCUGUAUUGAAGAGAAAAUGGGAGGUGAAGGCUAGUGCCAUGCACUGUCCUCUCUGUGUCAUGUGGUCAUGAUCACCAACACCCAGGCACCUGUGUUGUGUACUUUUGGAACCAGGAUGAGAAAUGAAGCUGAAUGUACUUACCCACUGGAAUUUCUACACACACUGUAGGGAUGGUCUGUCUCUUUCCUAAAUUCCCUCUCACGGCAAGGAUCAGCUAGUCUCCUCUGCACCUUCUUCACGGAGGCUGUGCAGAAUGAAGAGUUCUGCUCUUGGGAAUCCAUCCUUCAGGGAGCUUCUGGAAGGAGCACUGUUGGUUGCCACAUCCUCUGGAAGAUAUGACUGCUUUUUUCCCUUUUGAAGACGACUGAGAUUCAGCUAUGGGAAGUCUGUCCCUGCCGUCGGUAUUUCAGCGGCAUCACGGUGGAAUCGUGUGACUGAGAGAAGCCACCAUUUACACUGUCUACACCUACUAGGGUUGCCACGGUGGGAUGGAGACGCACCCGAUGAAGGUGACUCUGCUCAGAGGCCCGGGAUGAGGGCGUUAGAACUAGAGUCGAGCCUGUAAAUGACUGACUGGGCAGUUUACAAAUGGUUGGUACAUCUGACAACAGUCACUGAGUCCACACAAGGAAAAGCUCUGAAGCCGCGGCUGGCCUCUGUGGUGGCUCCCUGCGGGCUAGCCACGUACACUGCCUGCAAAGGGGCUUUGACCUUUCCUGCGUCAUUCAAGCUGUUCACUCUAAAGCGAAAGACCUGAAAUUGAAGGGCUGAAGCGCCUCCAUGCUGAACUUUGACACCCAGAGUGCAGCAUGCUGGGAAGAAAGACAAAGGACAUCGUUAUCGUUAUCAGCAGUGAGGAAGCUGGUGCCUCUUGGCCUCCUCACCAUGGCUGAUAAAGCCUCCCUCCGUCAGGGAAUUGAAAGCCCAGUCAAUACCUCUGAUUUGCAUGUGGAAUAUUGGCAAAAGCCUG